GACGAACGCUGGCGGCGUGCUUAACACAUGCAAGUCGAACGGAAAGGCCCUGCUUUUGUGGGGCGCUCGAGUGGCGAACGGGUGAGUAACACGUGAGUAACCUGCCCUUGACUUUGGGAUAACUUCAGGAAACUGGGGCUAAUACCGGAUAGGAGCUCCUGCUGCAUGGUGGGGGUUGGAAAGUUUCGGCGGGUGGGGAUGGACUCGCGGCUUAUCAGCUUGUUGGUGGGGUAGUGGCUUACCAAGGCUUUGACGGGUAGCCGGCCUGGGAGGGUGACCGGCCACAUUGGGACUGGGAUCCGGCCCAGACUCCUACGGGAGGCAGCAGUGGGGAAUAUUGCACAAUGGGCGGAAGCCUGAUGCAGCAACGCCGCGUGCGGGAUAACGGCCUUCGGGUUGUAAACCGCUUUCGCCUGUGACGAAGCGUGAGUGACGGUAAUGGGUAAAGAAGCACCGGCUAACUACGUG
rnacentral:rRNA from 1 species